rnacentral:rRNA from 1 species
CCUAACCUAUGGACGGGAAUAACCUCGGGAAACUGAGAAUAAUGCCCGAUAGAACAUUAUGCCUGGAAUGGUUUAUGUUCCAAAUGAUUUAUCGCCGUAGGAUGGGACUGCGGCCUAUCAGUUUGUUGGUGAGAUAAUGGCCCACCAAGACUAUUACAGGUACGGGCUCUGAGAGGAGUAGCCCGGAGAUGGGUACUGAGACACGGACCCAGGCCCUAUGGGGCGCAGCAGGCGAGAAAACUUUGCAAUGUGCGAAAGCACGACAAGGUUAAUCCGAGUGGUUUCUGCUAAAGAAACCUUUUGUCAGUCCUAGAAACACUGAUGAAUAAGGGGUGGGCAAGUUCUGGUGU